UAUACCUAUACUCUGUAUCUUUAGGUAUUUAAAUAAAAGUAAUCAAACAAUUUGUACAUUUUCGGGUAGUUAUAACAUUUAUUGGUUAUCCAACCAAAUAUAAAACCGCCUGGAUCUGUCACCGAACAACCUGACUUUAACCUACAUGAUUUGAUCAUGUGAUGUUAUCAUCUACCCUCAACUGACUUAAGGAGCCAUUUGAGGGUAGAUUUUGUUUACUUUUAUU